rnacentral:tRNA from 1 species
AGCAGCAUGGCUUAGUGGAUAGAGCACUGGCCUGGUAGUCAGAAGGAACUGGGUUCUAAUCCUGGUUCUGCCA